UACAGAGGUCUCAAGCGUUGUUCGGAUUCAUUGGGCGUAAAGGGUGCGUAGGCGGCUCGGUAAGUCGGGUGUGAAAUCUCGGAGCUUAACUCCGAAACUGCAUUCGAUACUGCCGUGCUUGAGGACUGGAGAGGAGACUGGAAUUUACGGUGUAGCGGUGAAAUGCGUAGAUAUCGUAAGGAAGACCAGUGGCGAAGGCGGGUCUCUGGACAGUUCCUGACGCUGAGGCACGAAGGUCAGGGGAGCAAACAGG
rnacentral:rRNA from 1 species